rnacentral:rRNA from 1 species
GGCGCGGCGAUAGCACGUUGAAUACUCGUACACCAGUUCCCCAUCGAUCGCUGAAGCAACGUUGCGCGUGGUUGGUAUCCGGAUGGGUGACCAUCUGGACAAUCGCGAGCUUCUGACU